rnacentral:rRNA from 1 species
AAGUCGAACGCACUUUCGUUGAAUGAAUUAGAGGUGCUUGCACCGAAGAUGAUUUUAGCUAUAAAGUGAGUGGCGAACGGGUGAGUAACACGUGGGUAACCUGCCCAGAAGUGGGGGAUAACACCUGGAAACAGAUGCUAAUACCGCAUAACAAAGUAAACCGCAUGGUUUACUUUUAAAAGAUGGCUUCGGCUAUCACUUCUGGAUGGACCCGCGGCGUAUUAGCUAGUUGGUGAGAUAAAGGCUCACCAAGGCAGUGAUACGUAGCCGACCUGAGAGGGUAAUCGGCCACAUUGGGACUGAGACACGGCCCAGACUCCUACGGGAGGCAGCAGUAGGGAAUCUUCCACAAUGGACGAAAGUCUGAUGGAGCAACGCCGCGUGAGUGAUGAAGGCUUUAGGGUCGUAAAACUCUGUUGUUGGAGAAGAACGUGUGUGAGAGUAACUGCUCAUGCAGUGACGGUAUCCAACCAGAAAGCCACGGCUAACUACGUGCCAGCAGCCGCGGUAAUACGUAGGUGGCAAGCGUUAUCCGGAUUUAUUGGGCGUAAAGCGAGCGCAGGCGGUCUUUUAAGUCUAAUGUGAAAGCCUUCGGCUUAACCGAAGAAGUGCAUUGGAAACUGGAAGACUUGAGUGCAGAAGAGGACAGUGGAACUCCAUGUGUAGCGGUGAAAUGCGUAGAUAUAUGGAAGAACACCAGUGGCGAAGGCGGCUGUCUGGUCUGUAACUGACGCUGAGGCUCGAAAGCAUGGGUAGCGAACAGGAUUAGAUACCCUGGUAGUCCAUGCCGUAAACGAUGAAUGCUAAGUGUUGGAGGGUUUCCGCCCUUCAGUGCUGCAGCUAACGC